rnacentral:lncRNA from 10 species
ACGCAACACAAAUUUGAAAACAAGUUAACUGAAGACUAUGUUAAGCCUUGCAGUGUAACCACCACACCAGUUGUGACUAGUUCUUCACUCUCCAAAGUGCAAUGACUAAGAACAGAGGAAGCUGAGAUGGGCUCUCUACCUUGCCAGCACCAUGUUGCCUGUUCCUUUACUGUACAUGUGGUUGACAAAGAAAAGUAAAGAUGGAGCCUCCAUGUUGAACAUGCCUGGCCUCCAGGUCCAUUCCAACUAAGAACCUAUGAGGACUGAAGAAAAAAUUAUUCUUCCCCUACAACCCAUUCCCACCUAGCCAUGACUGGGCUACUCCUAAGGAAGCUCUCUUCAUCCCUCUGGGUAACAAGACCCCCUGCAAGGCCAAACUCCACAUAGAUACCUCCUUCUCAUUCUGCUCAAGCUCCAACACACAACACCAGUGCAGUUCCCAUAUGGAAGCCCUCCUCACCGUGCAAAAGUUCUGAUAUUCUAUGCCUAGCUGCCCUCUUCUAUGGAUGCCCUUCUCAUACCACUCGCACUUUAAUGCCUCAAGAUCAAAUUAUUUUUUGGCUAGGAUGUGAGGUAGGGAUCAAGGUUCAUUUCUUCCCCAUAUUUGUAUCCAAUAUUUCUAGCAUUACUUGUUUAAAAAGCUUUCCUUUUUCUACUGAAUUGCUUGGCACCACCGUCAAAAAACAGUUGAGCAUAUGAGUGUGUGGGUCUGUUUCUGGACUCCAUUCUUUUCCAUCGAUCUAUUUAUGCAUCUUAAGGUGAAUACCAACCUGUAUUGAUUACAUAACUUUAAUUUACAUACCUAAAAUUAGGUAGCAUAAGUCCUUCAAUUUAGUCUUCUAGAAUAACAAAGACUGUCACUGCUAUUCUAGUCCUUUCACAUUUCCAUAUAAAUUUCAGAAUAAGUUUGCCAACUUCUAUAAAACAGUAUGUUGGUAUUUUGACUGAAAUUGCAUUGAAUCUAAGACUCAGUUUGGAAAAAAAUUUUGAUAUUUAUAACAAUACCGACUGGUCAAAUUCAAGAGCAUAUCUUUCUUUCCAUUUAGUUUUCUUAAAUUUGUCUCAGCAGUAUUUUGUGGUUAUCAUGUAGAGAUAUUUUGCUUCUUUUGCUAAAUUUAUUCUUCAUUAUUUGAUGGUUUUGAUGGUACUAUAAAUGCUUUUAUUUUCUAUGCUAAUUACUGUUAUUAUAUAGAAAUAAAUUUUAUUUUUAUACAUUGAAUUUGCAUUCUGUGAUUGUGUUAAAUUCACUUAAUUCUAGUACUUGUCUCUGUAGCUUCCUUAGUAUUUUUCCAUGUAUACAAUCAUGUUAUCUGAGAAUAAAGACAGUUUCACUUACUUCUUCCCAAUAUCUUUCAUGCCUGAUCACACCAGAACCUCCCAGACAAUGCUGAAUAAAAGUGGUAAGAGUGGACAUCUUUACCCUGUUCCUAAAAGUGUUUGUUAUUAAAGAGAUGUAUCUCUGUUGACACUAUCAUUUUUCCAGCUUGAUGAGAGGUCUUUUUUUUCUUCCUAUAAUGAAU